AUCACAGCGGCUUUCCCGCCUCUCCUUCACUGCAGCCUUCCCCCCUCCAAUCUCUGCAGCCUUCUCUCCUUCCCUCUCCUUGCUGCAUCCUUCCAGCCUCCCCGCGCUGCAACCUUCCCUCCCUCUGCUCUGAUUGGCUGUGCCCGUCCCGAGGCUGUUUGCACCGCGGUUCCUCACAGCACCCGCACCUCGAACCGGGCUGUUUAUCCACAGUAAAACCGCUGAGCUCUGCGAGAUCGGGAUUUGCAACGUUGUUGUAGCGAGAAGAUGUUACCAAAAACGCCACAGGAAGAAAAAAAUCUUACUAAUUUUGCGUUUAUCUCGGACCCCCCGUGCUGCAGAGGGGCGCGAGCAGCACGUGUUGCGUUCCGUCCUGUUGCGUUCCUCAGCUGCGAGGAGACCCGCGGCGCUCUGCAGACAGCGACCGCGCCUCGCUGCCGCUGCUCACAACAUUUGUUUCAGAAGACGCAUGGAUACUUGUCCAUGUCUAUACCCCUUGUCAUGCACCUUCACUUCUAGGAUCUGUUCAGCUUCUUACCUAUAGCCCCAGGCAUUGCUGUCUGCUCAAUAGUUUCCAAGCCCUGUAAAGAAGAAACAAGAUGACGUACUACUUUUUAAACAUAAACCACACAUGACUAAGACCCAAUAAUUCACUCGCUCCCGCUAGGAUGCUGAAUGAUUAAGUCUGACAUCAGUCAGUGCCAGUAGUGUAUUUUUGAUAAACCACAGUUGUCUGCUGCAUGCUCCAACAUCUGUAUUUUUCACACCAGAGGCAUCUGUCUUGCUCAAGAAAAUGAGAGACAUGUAGCACACUGCUUGUGCAAGUAGUAAAACUGAUAGAAACCGUACCAGUUAUCAUUCUACAUAGAGCUCCUUUCUUCAGUGAUAGCAAAUGACAUAUUUGGACCAGUUUUUAUAGAAAUCAUUUCAGGGAAUGUAC
rnacentral:lncRNA from 1 species